rnacentral:rRNA from 1 species
GACGAACGCUGGCGGCGUGCUUAACACAUGCAAGUCGAACGGAAAGGCCCUGCUUUUGUGGGGUGCUCGAGUGGCGAACGGGUGAGUAACACGUGAGUAACCUGCCCUUGACUUUGGGAUAACUUCAGGAAACUGGGGCUAAUACCGGAUAGGAUCUCCUGCUGCAUGGUGGGGGUUGGAAAUUUUCGGCGGUUGGGGAUGGACUCGCGGCUUAUCAGCUUGUUGGUGGGGUAGUGGCUUACCAAGGCUUUGACGGGUAGCCGGCCUGAGAGGGUGACCGGCCACAUUGGGCCUGAGAUACGGACCAGACUCCUACGGGAGGCAGCAGUGGGGAAUCUUGCACAAUGGGAGGAAGCCUGAUGCAGCAACGCCGCGUGCGGGAUGACGGCCUUCGGGUUAUAAACCGCUUUCGCCUGUGACGAAGCGUGAGUGACGGUAAUGGGUAAAGAAGCACCGGCUAACUACGUG